AUUGAACGCUGGCGGCAGGCCUAACACAUGCAAGUCGAGCGAGUGGCGGACGGGUGAGUAAUGUCUGGGAAACUGCCUGAUGGAGGGGGAUAACUACUGGAAACGGUAGCUAAUACCGCAUACCAUCAGAUGUGCCCAGAUGGGAUUAGAUAGUUGGUGGGGUAAAGGCCUACCUAGGCGACGAUCCGUAACUGGUCUGAGAGGAUGAGCAGUCACACUGGAACUGAGACACGGUCCAGACUCCUACGGGAGGCAGCAGUGGGGAAUAUUGCACAAUGGGCGAAAGCCUGAUCCAGCCAUGCCGCGUGUAUGAAGAAGGUCUUCGGGUUGUAAAGCACUUUCAGUGGGGAGGCGUUACCAACAGAAUAAGCACCGGCUAACUUCGUGCCAGCAGCCGCGGUAAUAC
rnacentral:rRNA from 1 species